rnacentral:lncRNA from 1 species
AAAUUCCCUCUGUCUCCUCCAGAAUCCAGAAAAGAAUAAUUACGAUAUUUUCAAAAUGGAAAGUUCCCAUGCCAAAGACUUUGCCUUCUUCACCAAACUAUGAUUUCGUGAUGUUCUUAAAGUUUCACCAUAUACAUGAAUUGGACUUACAAUUCCAGAAAAAUUAAAGGCUCAAGAAUGGGGCAUGAGUACACACUGUGUGCUAAGGAAAGAAUAUUUGGAUUGAAUUGAACCCCUGCAGAACGUGGACUAUUUAGAGACCUGAAUUUGGCCUUGGGUGAAUACCUGCCUUGGGUUGGCCAACUAGCAGUCAACAGCAAUGAGCCAAAAGAGACAAACCAAGUUUCAAAAUGGCAAAUCAAAGACUUCAGAAAAUAGCUCAGCUAAACGUGAGAAAGGAAUGGUUGUCAAUAGCAAAGAGAUUUCUGAUGCAGUCGGGCAAUCAAAAUUUGUUCUAGAGAACCUUCGGCAUUACACAGUCCAUCCAAAUUUGGCCCAGUACUAUAAGCCUUUGAAGGCCACUGCCCUGCAGAAAUUCCUGGCUCAAA